rnacentral:rRNA from 1 species
CCUGGCUCAGAUUGAACGCUGGCGGCAGGCCUAACACAUGCAAGUCGAACGGUAACAGGAAGCAGCUUGCUGUUUCGCUGACGAGUGGCGGACGGGUGAGUAAUGUCUGGGAAACUGCCUGAUGGAGGGGGAUAACUACUGGAAACGGUAGCUAAUACCGCAUAACGUCGCAAGACCAAAGAGGGGGACCUUCGGGCCUCUUGCCAUCGGAUGUGCCCAGAUGGGAUUAGCUAGUAGGUGGGGUAACGGCUCACCUAGGCGACGAUCCCUAGCUGGUCUGAGAGGAUGACCAGCCACACUGGAACUGAGACACGGUCCAGACUCCUACGGGAGGCAGCAGUGGGGAAUAUUGCACAAUGGGCGCAAGCCUGAUGCAGCCAUGCCGCGUGUAUGAAGAAGGCCUUCGGGUUGUAAAGUACUUUCAGCGGGGAGGAAGGGAGUAAAGUUAAUACCUUUGCUCAUUGACGUUACCCGCAGAAGAAGCACCGGCUAACUCCGUGCC